GGAUGUGAGGGCGAUCUGGCUGCGACAUCUGUCACCCCAUUGAUAGCCAGGGUUGAUUCGGCUGAUCUGGCUGGGUAAGCGGGGGGCCCCUUUCCCCCCCCACGCGCA
rnacentral:snRNA from 1 species